GUCUAAAAUUUUUAGAUGUGGUAAAGGCACCCCAAGCCAAGGAUCCAUAGCCUUCCUGAACGGGAGAAAGGCCACAGUGGGACUGAAACAAGGCCCAUCCGCAUUUGCGGCAGCAGUGAAGAAUCUUUGACAAUGGGCGAAAGCCUGAUCAUGCAUUUCUGCGUAAGAUAUGGAAGAAAAGAUUCCAUCGUUCUAAGGGAAGGCAAAUUGUCGGAACCCUUGUUUAUUUUUGGCAAAGAAAAAAAAACUUUGGUCCUUUUUAAAAAAGGAUUUAUAAAAAAUGUUUUUUAAUCUAUAGAAACCAAAACUUUAGAUUAAAAAACGUUUUUGAAAAACUAAAAAUAAAAUCCCUGGCAAACUCUGUGCCAGCCGCCGCGGUAAUACAGAGAGGGAGAGUGUUGAGCGAAUGGACUAGGCAUAAAAAGCAGGUAGGUUGUUUGUUAAGUUCUAAGAUUAUUUUUUUGAAAGUUCAAAAAAGAUCUAAGAAAAUAACUUUCUUGAAUAUUUCUAUGGGUAAGGGAAUGGCCCUAGGACUGGUAGAAUAGUAGCAUAAGGGUUGGAACGUCCAAAGCGAAGGCACUUACCUGGGAAAUAAUUGACACUGAGCUGCGGAAGUGUGGAGACCAAAUGAGAUUAGAGACCUCAGUAGCCCACACCGUCAACGAUGAGUGCUUUACAGAUAUUUUUCUGUGAACGCCAAAUGUAGAAGCACUCUGCCUGGGGAGUACCGUCGCAAGGCAGAAACUCAAAAGAAUUGACUGCUAGAGAGAACAAUGGUGGAACAUUGGGGUUUAAUAGAAAAC
rnacentral:rRNA from 1 species